AGCGAACGCUGGCGGCAGGCCUAACACAUGCAAGUCGAACGGAUCCUUCGGGAUUAGUGGCGGACGGGUGAGUAACACGUGGGAACGUGCCCUUUGGUUCGGAACAACUCAGGGAAACUUGAGCUAAUACCGGAUGUGCCCUUCGGGGGAAAGAUUUAUCGCCAUUGGAGCGGCCCGCGUCUGAUUAGCUAGUUGGUGAGGUAAAGGCUCACCAAGGCGACGAUCAGUAGCUGGUCUGAGAGGAUGAUCAGCCACAUUGGGGCUGAGACACGGCCCAAACUCCUACGGGAGGCAGCAGUGGGGAAUCUUGCGCAAUGGGCGAAAGCCUGACGCAGCCAUGCCGCGUGAAUGAUGAAGGUCUUAGGAUUGUAAAACUCUUUCACCGGGGACGAUAAUGACGGUACCCGGAGAAGAAGCCCCGGCUAACUUCGUGCCAGCCGCCGCGGUAAAAC
rnacentral:rRNA from 1 species